CCGAGUGAGGGCCUUCCAGGCCCGACCUCCCAACCCCAUGUUAUCCGACACUGUUGCCUCGGGGGCGACCCGGCUCUUCUGGCGUCGGGGCCCCCGGUGGAUUGUCAAACGCUGCAUCUGUGCGUCUGAGUCAGAUGAUGAAUCAAUCA
rnacentral:misc_RNA from 1 species